UGGGGAAUAUUGCACAAUGGGCGCAAGCCUGAUGCAGCCAUGCCGCGUGUAUGAAGAAGGCCUUCGGGUUGUAAAGUACUUUCAGCGGGGAGGAAGGGAGUAAAGUUAAUACCUUUGCUCAUUGACGUUACCCGCAGAAGAAGCACCGGCUAACUCCGUGCCAGCAGCCGCGGUAAUACGGAGGGUGCAAGCGUUAAUCGGAAUUACUGGGCGUAAAGCGCACGCAGGCGGUUUGUUAAGUCAGAUGUGAAAUCCUCGGGCUCAACCUGGGAACUGCAUCUGAGACUGGCAAGCUUGAGUCUCGUAGAGGGGGGUAGAAUUCCAGGUGUAGCGGUGAAAUGCGUAGAGAUCGGGAGGAAUACCGGUGGCGAAGGCGGCCCCCUGGACGAAGACUGACGCUCAGGUGCGAAAGCGUGGGGAGCAAACAGG
rnacentral:rRNA from 1 species